UGGGGAAUAUUGCACAAUGGGCGCAAGCCUGAUGCAGCCAUGCCGCGUGUGUGAAGAAGGCCUUCGAGUUGUAAAGCACUUUCAGCGAGGAGGAAGGUGGUGAGCUUAAUACGCUCAUCAAUUGACGUUACUCGCAGAAGAAGCACCGGCUAACUCCGUGCCAGCAGCCGCGGUAAUACGGAGGGUGCAAGCGUUAAUCGGAAUUACUGGGCGUAAAGCGCACGCAGGCGGUUUGUUAAGUCAGNUGUGAAAUCCCCGGGCUCAACCUGGGAACUGCAUUUGAAACUAGCAAGCUAGAGUCUCGUAGAGGGGGGUAGAAUUCCAGGUGUAGCGGUGAAAUGCGUAGAGAUCUGGAGGAAUACCGGUGGCGAAGGCGGCCCCCCUGGACGAAGACUGACGCUCAGGUGCGAAAAGCGUGGGGGCAGCAAACAGGAUUAGAUACCCUGGUUAGGUCCAGCGCUGUAAAACCGAUGUCGAUUUGGAGGUUGUGCCCCUUGAGGCGUGGCUUCCGGAGCUAACGCGUUAAAUCGACCGCCUGGGGAGUNCGGCCGCAAGGUU
rnacentral:rRNA from 1 species